AUGAACGCUAGCUACAGGCUUAACACAUGCAAGUCGAGGGGCAGCAUGGUCUUAGCUUGCUAAGACUGAUGGCGACCGGCGCACGGGUGAGUAACACGUAUCCAACCUGCCGUCUACUCUUGGACAGCCUUCUGAAAGGAAGAUUAAUACAAGAUGGCAUCAUGAGUCCACAUGUUCACAUGAUUAAAGGUAUUCCGGUAGACGAUGGGGAUGCGUUCCAUUAGAUAGUAGGCGGGGUAACGGCCCACCUAGUCUUCGAUGGAUAGAGGUUCUGAGAGGAAGGUCCCCCACAUUGGAACUGAGACACGGUCCAAACUCCUACGGGAGGCAGCAGUGAGGAAUAUUGGUCAAUGGGCGAGAGCCUGAACCAGCCAAGUAGCGUGAAGGAUGACUGCCCUAUGGGUUGUAAACUUCUUUUAUAAAGGAAUAAAGUCGGGUAUGGAUACCCGUUUGCAUGUACUUUAUGAAUAAGGAUCGGCUAACUCCGUGCCAGCAGCCGCGGUAAUACGGAGGAUCCGAGCGUUAUCCGGAUUUAUUGGGUUUAAAGGGAGCGUAGAUGGAUGUUUAAGUCAGUUGUGAAAGUUUGCGGCUCAACCGUAAAAUUGCAGUUGAUACUGGAUAUCUUGAGUGCAGUUGAGGCAGGCGGAAUUCGUGGUGUAGCGGUGAAAUGCUUAGAUAUCACGAAGAACUCCGAUUGCGAAGGCAGCCUGCUAAGCUGCAACUGACAUUGAGGCUCGAAAGUGUGGGUAUCAAACAGGAUUAGAUACCCUGGUAGUCCACACGGUAAACGAUGAAUACUCGCUGUUUGCGAUAUACUGCAAGCGGCCAAGCGAAAGCGUUAAGUAUUCCACCUGGGGAGUACGCCGGCAACGGUGAAACUCAAAGGAAUUGACGGGGGCCCGUACAAGCGGAGGAACAUGUGGUUUAAUUCGAUGAUACGCGAGGAACCUUACCCGGGCUUAAAUUGCAGAUGAAUUACGGUGAAAGCCGUAAGCCGCAAGGCAUCUGUGAAGGUGCUGCAUGGUUGUCGUCAGCUCGUGCCGUGAGGUGUCGGCUUAAGUGCCAUAACGAGCGCAACCCUUGUUGUCAGUUACUAACAGGUUCCGCUGAGGACUCUGACAAGACUGCCAUCGUAAGAUGUGAGGAAGGUGGGGAUGACGUCAAAUCAGCACGGCCCUUACGUCCGGGGCUACACACGUGUUACAAUGGGGGGUACAGAGGGCCGCUACCACGCGAGUGGAUGCCAAUCCCCAAAACCUCUCUCAGUUCGGACUGGAGUCUGCAACCCGACUCCACGAAGCUGGAUUCGCUAGUAAUCGCGCAUCAGCCACGGCGCGGUGAAUACGUUCCCGGGCCUUGUACACACCGCCCGUCAAGCCAUGGGAGCCGGGGGUACCUGAAGUGCGUAACCGCGAGGAGCGCCCUAGGGUAAAACUGGUGACUGGGGCU
rnacentral:rRNA from 1 species